rnacentral:rRNA from 1 species
CAAGGAAUAUUCCGCAAUGGGGGAAACCCCGACGGAGCAAUGCCGCGUGGAGGAUGAAGCCCCUCGGGGUGUAAACUCCUGUCAGGGUCUAAAAAGAUCUGAUCGGACCCAGAGGAAGGGCCGGCUAACUUCGUGCCAGCAGCCGCGGUAACACGAAGGGCCCAAGCGUUAAGCGGAAUCACUGGGCUUAAAGGGUGCGUAGGCGGAUCUGAAAGUGCCCUGUGAAAUCCCACGGCUCAACCGUGGAAUUGCGGGGCAAACUUCAGGUCUUGAGCACGGUAGAGGCUGCCGGAACGCUAGGUGGAGCGGUGAAAUGCGUAGAUAUCUAGCGGAACGCCCAAUGCGAAGGCAGGCAGCUGGGCCGUCGCUGACGCUGAGGCACGAAAGCGUGGGUAGCGAACG